GGGUGCGAUCAUACUGGCGUUAAUGCACCAGAUCCCAUCAGAAUUGCGCAGUUAAGCGCGCUUGGGCUAGAGUAGUACUGGGAUGGGUGACCUCCCUGGAAGUCCUAGUGUUGCACCCU
rfam:Picea glauca, whole genome shotgun sequence.